rnacentral:rRNA from 1 species
UACGAAGGGGGCUAGCGUUGUUCGGAAUUACUGGGCGUAAAGCGCGUGUAGGCGGGUCUUUAAGUCAGGGGUGAAAUGCCAAGGCUCAACCUUGGAACUGCCUUUGAUACUGGAGAUCUUGAGUCCGGGAGAGGUGAGUGGAAUUCCUAGUGUAGAGGUGAAAUUCGUAGAUAUUAGGAAGAACACCAGUGGCGAAGGCGGCUCACUGGCCCGGUACUGACGCUGAGGCGCGAAAGCGUGGGGAGCAAACAGG